GACAGGGGAUGCAAGCGUUGUCCGGAAUUAUUGGGCGUAAAGAGCUCGUAGGCGGUCUGUCGCGUCGGCUGUGAAAACUCGGGGCUCAACCCCGAGCCUGCAGUCGAUACGGGCAGACUAGAGUGCUGUAGGGGAGACUGGAAUUCCUGGUGUAGCGGUGAAAUGCGCAGAUAUCAGGAGGAACACCGGUGGCGAAGGCGGGUCUCUGGGCAGUAACUGACGCUGAGGAGCGAAAGCGUGGGGAGCGAACAGG
rnacentral:rRNA from 1 species